CACGGAGUUAGCCGAUGCUUUUUCUUCGGGUACUCUCAAUGAGUCACACGUGACUCGCUUUGCUCCCCGACAAAAGAGGUUUACAACCCGUAGGGCCGUCUUCCCUCACGCGACUUGGCUGGUUCAGCCUCUCGGCCAUUGACCAAUAUUCCUCACUGCUGCCUCCCGUAGGAGUCUGGUCCGUGUCUCAGUACCAGUGUGGGGGACCUUCCUCUCAGAACCCCUACGCAUCGUCGCCUCGGUGGGCCGUUACCCCGCCGACUAGCUAAUGCGCCGCAUGGCCAUCCGCAGCCGAUAAAUCUUUAAACAUCGGGAGAUGCCUCCCAACGUUGUUACGCGGUAUUAGACGGAAUUUCUUCCGCUUAUCCCCCUGCUGCGGGCAGGUUCCAUACGUGUUACUCACCCGUGCGCCGGUCGCCGGCAGUAGUGCAAGCACUACCCCGCUGCCCCUCGACUUGCAUGUGUUAAGCCUGUCGCUAGCGUUCAUCCUGAGCCAGGAUCAAACUCU
rnacentral:rRNA from 1 species